rnacentral:pre_miRNA from 1 species
UAAAUACUCCCUCCGUCCAGAAAUACUUGUCAUUGAAAUGGAUGUAUCUAGAUGUAUUUUAGUUCUAGAUACAUCCAUUUUCAUCCAUUUUGAUGACAAGUAUUUCUGGACGAAGGGAGUAGAAU